ACAAACUCUCACAUUAAUACUAACGUAGGGGACAGUGGGCCUCCGGGCCAGACCACCGGGUCGUUAAGUGGAGUAAAACUGAGCCUUUGUUCUCAUCCAGACACUCCAAGGACAAAGCUAGUGGUAAAGCUGAGCUCUGCUAAAGCAAAGAGAUACGGUGCCCACUCCUGAGGUCACGGAAGACGUCCCUGUCUGCCCAUGCGCAAGAAGGCUUCCUGGGGGUCAAAAAGGAAGCGCAGGCAUGCACCCAUAAGCCUCUAUGGUGGGAUCUGUCUCAGCAAACAGUUGCGCAUGCAUCUUGGGGAGGAUCAUGGACCAGUCAGGUGUGAGAAGGAAACAAAGUAAUUGGCCAAAGUUAUGGUGCCGUGAUUCAGAUAAGAUCAAAUUCAUCACUGGACUCCCAGACCUCUUACUCAGGACCCUAAGGGAGCACCCUUAAAGACUUUAUCUUCGUCCCUGGCUGAAUGAUCCAUAUGGCAGUCCUUUGAAACAUCUUACAGCAGGUAUUUAUUUCUAGGAUUCUGAGUACACUCUCUGAAGCUGGUUUAGAGUCCCAGGAAAGCAGCCGUUUGUAAGAAGCUGAGUUGGAGACCCAAGCUUUUUGUUUGUUUUUGUUUGAAAGAUACCUGCUGGGCUGGAAAUCUUUCUUCAUCACCAUGU
rnacentral:lncRNA from 1 species